UACGAAGGGAGCGAGCGUUAAUCGGAAUUACUGGGCGUAAAGCGUGCGCAGGCGGUUUCUUAAGCCAGAUGUGAAAGACCCGGGCUUAACCUGGGAAUUGCGUUUGGAACUGGGAGACUAGAGUGUGGCAGAGGGAGGUAGAAUUCCACGUGUAGCAGUGAAAUGCGUAGAGAUGUGGAGGAAUAACGAUGGCGAAGGCAGCCUCCUGGGCCAUCACUGACGCUCAUGCACGAAAGCGUGGGGAGCAAACAGG
rnacentral:rRNA from 1 species